CUCUCUCUCUCUCUCUCUCUCUGUGCCUGACGUCCCUGUUUGUCAAUCUACAACUCCGUGUCCAGGACUCUCAAGAUCGUUUCAUUAACUGUGGGAAGUUGAGACUUUCCCUUUCAACCUCUGCUCUGUAACAUCAAAGACCACCCUGAUCUCCACACUCUUAAGAAAGUGGGGGCUUCUUUCCCUCAGGAUCUAUAUAUGUUAUUCUCUGGCAAGAACCCUCAGCUCCUGUUUGUCAUUUUCAAGUCCCUGCUUCAGGUCUGUAUAACUAUUACAGUCUAAUCAAUGGUUCCCUAUUCUCCAACUGUCACUUCAUUUUUCUUUCUCAUGGGUCUUCUUUCCAGGACACAAAACUCUUUGGUCUUCCCAUGGGCAGAACUUGGCAGAGCCCCCAGAGGACCAGCCCUCACGCAAGAUACCUGGGACAGCAUGAAGAUUGAAAGCUCUUGAAAACUUGUCUUGUUGAUGCUUUCCAAGAGCUUGCAUCAUCUCUCAUUCUCAGGAAAUACUGGUGAAUUAAUAUAUGCAAUUUCUAGGAUGGUUCCCAGAGAAAUUGAGACUGUGCAUGGCUCUGGUCUCACUGGCUGUUGAACUCCAGCACUGCUGCUGGGCUUGUGCUGGACAACACAGUCAAGGCCUUCCUGAACCUCUAUUGGUGCCAUUCUCCCAACUGGCCAAUCUGAAGAACUUCACCGCAAGCUUCCUAAGAGUCAUCAUCAGAAAAGAUUCCCUAGUGAAACCCUGA
rnacentral:lncRNA from 1 species